AUUGAACGCUGGCGGCAUGCCUUACACAUGCAAGUCGAACGGCAGCGCGGACUUCGGUCUGGCGGCGAGUGGCGAACGGGUGAGUAACGCAUCGGAACGUGCCCUGUAGUGGGGGAUAACUCUCCGAAAGGAGUGCUAAUACCGCAUAUACUGUGAGCAGGAAAGCAGGGGACCUUCGGGCCUUGUGCUAUGGGAGCGGCCGAUGUCAGAUUAGCUAGUUGGUGGGGUAAAGGCCUACCAAGGCGACGAUCUGUAGCGGGUCUGAGAGGAUGAUCCGCCACACUGGGACUGCGACACGGCCCAGACUCCUACGGGAGGCAGCAGUGGGGAAUUUUGGACAAUGGGGGCAACCCUGAUCCAGCCAUGCCGCGUGAGUGAAGAAGGCCUUCGGGUUGUAAAGCUCUUUCGGCCGGGAAGAAAUCGCCAUCUCUAACAUAGGUGGUGGAUGACGGUACCGGAAUAAGAAGCACCGGCUAACUACGUGCCAGCCGCCGCAGUAACAC
rnacentral:rRNA from 1 species